GACGAACGCUGGCGGCGUGCUUAACACAUGCAAGUCGAACGGAAAGGCCCUGCUUUUGUGGGGUGCUCGAGUGGCGAACGGUGAGUAACACGUGAGUAACCUGCCCUUGACCUUGGGAUAACUUCAGGAAACCGGGGCUAAUACCGGAUAGGAGCCCCUGCUGCCUGGUGGGGGUUGGAAAGUUUCGGCGGUUGGGGAUGGAAUCGCGGCUUAUCAGCUUGUUGGUGGGGUAGUGGCUUACCAAGGCUUUGACGGGUAGCCGGCCUGAGAGGGUGACCGGCCACAUUGGGACUGAGAUACGGCCCAGACUCCUACGGGAGGCAGCAGUGGGGAAUAUUGCACAAUGGGCGGAAGCCUGAUGCAGCAACGCCGCGUGCGGGAUGACGGCCUUCGGGUUGUAAACCGCUUUCGCCUGUGACGAAGCGUGAGUGACGGUAAUGGGUAAAGAAGCACCGGCUAACUACGUG
rnacentral:rRNA from 1 species